rnacentral:rRNA from 1 species
AACGAACGCUGGCGGCAUGCCUAACACAUGCAAGUCGAACGAGACCUUCGGGUCUAGUGGCGCACGGGUGCGUAACGCGUGGGAAUCUGCCCUUGGGUUCGGGAUAACAGUUGGAAACGACUGCUAAUACCGAAUGAUGACUCCGGUCCAAAGAUUUAUCGCCCAGGGAUGAGCCCGCGUCGGAUUAGCUAGUUGGUGAGGUAAAGGCUCACCAAGGCGACGAUCCGUAGCUGGUCUGAGAGGAUGAUCAGCCACACUGGGACUGAGACACGGCCCAGACUCCUACGGGAGGCAGCAGUGGGGAAUAUUGGACAAUGGGCGAAAGCCUGAUCCAGCAAUGCCGCGUGAGUGAUGAAGGCCCUAGGGUUGUAAAGCUCUUUUACCCGGGAUGAUAAUGACAGUACCGGGAGAAUAAGCCCCGGCUAACUCCGUGCCAGCAGCCGCGGUAAUACGGAGGGGGCUAGCGUUGUUCGGAAUUACUGGGCGUAAAGCGCGCGUA